rnacentral:misc_RNA from 1 species
AACGCACCUUGCGCUCUUGGGUUAUUCCUAGGAGCAUGUUCGUUUCAGUGUCGCGUACCUUCUCAACCCCCUUCGUAAGAAGUGUCAGGUGUUGGAUCAUGGCCUCUUUGCUCUUAUCAGUAAGAGCUGGGCUGAAUUAGAAGAAGCUGUACCUUUUAAACUAGCGGCUUGACCUGUUGUCGUAAUAACACAAUUUCAAUGGGGAUCGCUUGGUUGGGAUGAGCUUACCACAAAUUAUGAUUUAUACAUUGACCUGAAAUCGAGCAGGACUACCCCCUGAACUUAA